CAACCCCACUGUCUGUGCCAUACCUCUCCUGCCCCCAGAACUGUCCCCACAUCCUCCACCAUGCAGUCUGCCCUCAGUCUGCUUUCCAUCCUCACCCUGCUCCAAGGUGUCCAGGGUGAGGUCCAGUUGCUGGAAUCUGGGGGAGAUGUGAGACAGCCUGGGGGGUCUUUGCGCCUCUCCUGUAAAGCUUCUGGAUUCACCUUCAGCAGCUACUGGAUGCACUGGGUCCGCCAGGCUCCAGGGAAGGGACUCGAGUGGGUCGCAUACAUAAAUGGUGAUGGGAGCACCACAAGCUAUCCAGAUUCUGUGAAAGGCCGAUUCACCAUCUCCAGGGACAAUGCCAACAGCCUGCUGAAUCUGCAAAUGAACAACCUGAAAACUGAGGACACGGCCCUGUAUUACUGUACGAAAGACACAGUGAGUAAAACCACAUCCUGA